AAUCUACUCCCUCCGUCCCAAAAUUCUCGUCUUAGAUUUGUCUAAAUACGGAUGUAUCUAGUUACGUUUUAGUGUUAGAUACAUCCGUAUCUAGACGAAUCUAAGACAAGAAUUUUGGGACGGAGGGAGUAAUAA
rnacentral:pre_miRNA from 1 species